UUGAACGCUGGCGGCAGGCUAAGACAUGCAAGUCGAACGGUAACGACACUAGCUUGCUAGUGGUCGACGAGUGGCGGACGGGUGAGUAACGCGUAGGAAUCUACCUAGUAGUGGGGGAUAGCCAAGGGAAACUUUGGGUAAUACCGCAUACGAUCUAAGGAUGAAAGGGGGCCUCUCUUUGAAGCUCUCGCUAUUAGAUGAGCCUGCGUAAGAUUAGCUUGUUGGUGGGGUAAUGGCUCACCAAGGCGACGAUCUUUAGCUGGUCUGAGAGGAUGAUCAGUCACACUGGAACUGAGACACGGUCCAGACUCCUACGGGAGGCAGCAGUCGGGAAUAUUGGACAAUGGGGGAAACCCUGAUCCAGCCAUGCCGCGUGUGUGAAGAAGGCCCUAGGGUUGUAAAGCACUUUUAGUAGUGAGGAAGGCUCGGUAGUUAAUACCUACCGGGAUUGACGUUAGCUACAGAAAAAGCACCGGCUAAUUUCGUGCCAGCAGCCGCGGUAAUACGAAAGGUGCAAGCGUUAAUCGGAAUUACUGGGCGUAAAGCGCGCGUAGGCGGCUUGGUAAGUUGGAUGUGAAAGCCCCGGGCUCAACCUGGGAACUGCAUCCAAAACUGCCUAGCUAGAGUAUGGUAGAGGAUGGCGGAAUUUCCUGUGUAGCGGUGAAAUGCGUAGAUAUAGGAAGGAACAUCAGUGGCGAAGGCGGCCAUCUGGACCAAUACUGACGCUGA
rnacentral:rRNA from 1 species